UGAACGCUAGCGGCAGGCUAACACAUGCAAGUCGAGGGGCAUCGGGAGUAGCAAUACUGCCGGCGACCGGCGCAAGGGUGCGUAACGCGUGAGCAACAUGCCCGUAUCAGGGGGAUAAUCCAUGGAAACGUGGUCUAAUACCCCAUAGUAAUUAUGUAAGGCAUCUUAUAUAAUUUAAAGCUUUGGUGGAUACGGAUUGGCUCGCGUGACAUUAGCUGGAUGGUAAGGUAACGGCUUACCAUGGCUACGAUGUCUAGGGGUUCUGAGAGGAAGGUCCCCCCACACUGGAACUGAGACACGGUCCAGACUCCUACGGGAGGCAGCAGUGAGGAAUAUUGGACAAUGGAUGGAAAUCUGAUCCAGCCAUGCCGCGUGCAAGGAAGACGGCCCUAUGGGUUGUAAACUGCUUUUGUAUGGGAGCAAUAAGGGCUACGUGUAGUCCGAUGAGAGUACCAUACGAAUAAGCACCGGCUAACUCCGUGCCAGCCGCAGC
rnacentral:rRNA from 1 species